rnacentral:rRNA from 1 species
GUGGGGAAUAUUGGACAAUGGGCGAAAGCCUGAUCCAGCCAUGCCGCGUGUGUGAAGAAGGCCUUUUGGUUGUAAAGCACUUUAAGCGAGGAGGAGGCUACUUGAAUUAAUACUCUAGGAUAGUGGACGUUACUCGCAGAAUAAGCACCGGCUAACUCUGUGCCAGCAGCCGCGGUAAUACAGAGGGUGCGAGCGUUAAUCGGAUUUACUGGGCGUAAAGCGUGCGUAGGCGGCUUUUUAAGUCGGAUGUGAAAUCCCUGAGCUUAACUUAGGAAUUGCAUUCGAUACUGGGAAGCUAGAGUAUGGGAGAGGAUGGUAGAAUUCCAGGUGUAGCGGUGAAAUGCGUAGAGAUCUGGAGGAAUACCGAUGGCGAAGGCAGCCAUCUGGCCUAAUACUGACGCUGAGGUACGAAAGCAUGGGGAGCAAACAGGAUUAGAAACCCUUGUAGUCC